rnacentral:rRNA from 1 species
UGCAAGUCGAGCGGAUGAAGGGAGCUUGCUCUCUGAUUCAGCGGCGGACGGGUGAGUAAUGCCUAGGAAUCUGCCUGAUAGUGGGGGACAACGUUUCGAAAGGAACGCUAAUACCGCAUACGUCCUACGGGAGAAAGCAGGGGACCUUCGGGCCUUGCGCUAUCAGAUGAGCCUAGGUCGGAUUAGCUUGUUGGUGAGGUAAUGGCUCACCAAGGCGACGAUCCGUAACUGGUCUGAGAGGAUGAUCAGUCACACUGGAACUGAGACACGGUCCAGACUCCUACGGGAGGCAGCAGUGGGGAAUAUUGGACAAUGGGCGAAAGCCUGAUCCAGCCAUGCCGCGUGUGUGAAGAAGGUCUUCGGAUUGUAAAGCACUUUAAGUUGGGAGGAAGGGCAUUAACCUAAUACGUUAGUGUUUUGACGUUACCGACAGAAUAAGCACCGGCUAACUUCGUGCCAGCAGCCGCGGUAAUACGAAGGGUGCAAGCGUUAAUCGGAAUUACUGGGCGUAAAGCGCGCGUAGGUGGUUUGUUAAGUUGAAUGUGAAAGCCCCGGGCUCAACCUGGGAACUGCAUCCAAAACUGGCAAGCUAGAGUAUGGCAGAGGGUGGUGGAAUUUUCCUGUGUAGCGGUGAAAUGCGUAGAUAUAGGAAGGAACACCAGUGGCGAAUGCGACCACCUGGGCUAAUACUG